rnacentral:rRNA from 1 species
UAGGGAAUCUUCCGCAAUGGGCGAAAGCCUGACGGAGCAACGCCGCGUGAGUGAUGAAGGUCUUCGGAUCGUAAAACUCUGUUAUUAGGGAAGAACAAAUGUGUAAGUAACUAUGCACGUCUUGACGGUACCUAAUCAGAAAGCCACGGCUAACUACGUGCCAGCAGCCGCGGUAAUACGUAGGUGGCAAGCGUUAUCCGGAAUUAUUGGGCGUAAAGCGCGCGUAGGCGGUUUUUUAAGUCUGAUGUGAAAGCCCACGGCUCAACCGUGGAGGGUCAUUGGAAACUGGAAAACUUGAGUGCAGAAGAGGAACGUGGAAUUCCAUGUGUAGCGGUGAAAUGCGCAGAGAUAUGGAGGAACACCAGUGGCGAAGGCGACUUUCUGGUCUGUAACUGACGCUGAUGUGCGCAAGCGUGGGCAUCAAACAGG